UGCUAUGAUGAUUAGAUAAAUAAUCUCGUUAAUCUGAUGGAUAAAUCUAUCUUUACCCAUGAGGAUUACUUUUCUCAACCAUUUAUUGAUCUUUCUGAGC